AGAGUUUGAUCCUGGCUCAGAAUGAACGUUGGCGGCGUGGAUUAGGCAUGCAAGUCGCGCGGGUGUAGCAAUACACCAGCGGCGAAAGGGACAGUAAUGUGUAGGUCAUCUGCCCUCGGGACAGGGAUAGCCACGGGAAACUGUGGGUAAUACCUGAUAACAUCUUCGGAUCAAAGGUGUGAGUCCGCCCGGGGAUGAGCCUACAUCCUAUUAGCUUGUUGGCGGGGUAACGGCCCACCAAGGCUUUGAUGGGUAGCGGGUGUGAGAGCACGACCCGCGUCAUUGGGACUGAGACACUGCCCAGACACCUACGGGUGGCUGCAGUCGAGAAUCUUCGGCAAUGGACGCAAGUCUGACCGAGCGACGCCGCGUGCGGGAUGAAGGCCUUCGGGUUGUAAACCGCUGUCAGUGAGGAGGAAGGCCGUGUGAAGAGCAUGGUUUGACCUAUUCGCAGAGGAAGUGUGGGCUAAGCUCGUGCCAGCAGCCGCGGUAAGACGAGCCACACAAACGUUAUUCGGAAUUACUGGGCUUAAAGGGUGCGUAGGCGGCGCGGAAAGUUGGGUGUGAAAUCCCUCGGCUCAACCGAGGAAUUGCGCUCAAAACUACCGUGCUCGAGGGAGAUAGAGGAGUGCGGAACUUACGGUGGAGCGGUGAAAUGCGUUGAUAUCGUAGGGAACACCGGUGGCGAAAGCGGCACUCUGGAUCUCUUCUGACGCUGAUGCACGAAAGCUAGGGUAGCAAACGGGAUUAGAUACCCCGGUAGUCCUAGCCGUAAACGAUGAGCACUGGAUUGAAGGCCC
rnacentral:rRNA from 1 species